CACCCCAUUGAGACAGAACAAAACUGCAAAUCAGUUUCUAUUGGUUUCCACUUAAUUAGUUUUCUUUCUUCCGACCAUUAGCUAGGAUAAGAUAUCUGACUUUCUCUCUUAAUUGUUCCCAUCUUUUUUAUGCUGAUUUUAUUUUAUUUUUCUUUCAUUAUUUGUUUUUCAGAUAGUAAUAAACAUCACAAUAAUCUGCGAAUUUUCUUUUGGUAAGUGUAGUGAGAUGGAGGACGAACAAAUUUGGAGAAAGACCAAAUCUAUCAAACGAAGAUUAGCACAAAGAUGGGGACUCAGCCAUGAGAUGGAGGACGAAUAUGCUGCUUGAUUAUCAUCAUCCCUGAGAACCAAAACAAAACUAAAUUACGUUGGACAAAGAUCUUCAAGGAUUACACUGACAUCUCAUGUUAUCUUACAUUUAAUUACUUGAUGAUUCAAACAACAAUUAAAAUGUACCAUGAAAGUGCGUAAUAGCGGAUUUCUCAGUAUGAUCAUCAUAACAGCGUUAUUAGAAGAUUAAAGAAAAAGCAAAUCUUACUGAACAUCUUCGACCAAAGUAAGAUUUUUGAAGUGUGGUAACUCAUAUAGUUUAUUGUUCUUUACUUAGGUUUUUGAAGAAGAUGCGCUGGUCGUUGACCGGAAUAUGCGACUAUGUACACAUAAAAUUUUGAUUGCUUACUUUCCUAAUGUUUUUUUUAGUCAUAGCAUAAUCUUUGUAGCCUUUUUGUUUUGACGGUGUCCGUUCCUUCUCGCGCGCUAUUAAU